CCUCCUGUUCUCCUCUCCUCAGCCGGUCAGCCCCCCUGGCCCCACCCCCAGUCGUCCCAACCGGCUAGGCCCCAGCCGCACGCCCGCACCAACCGCACACGCCGCCGCCCGGCUGGCCCCAGCCGCGGAGUCGCCCCAUCCCCCGUCCUGCACCGUCGCUGCCCGCCAGGCCGCGUAGCUCAGGUGGCUGCCAAGCCGCUGCUCGCCAGGCCACCCUACCUCGAUUUGAUCCGUUUGUGGACGAGGUGCUGGCGAUUGGAAGAGCGACCCGGGCGGGCGAGCGAGCGACGACACUCACUGCAGCCUUGGUGUUUCUCUGGACGUCUGGUGGAGUGAGAGACCACAGUUUGCAUUCCUAGCACCAAUUUUCUUGAGUUUUAACUACAAUUUACUUCUUGAUGGCUUUGAAUGAGGUGAGGAUGCGGCCCACUACUGGACAGACUCCUUCUGGUUCAUCCUUGGCUCGCUUGCUCUUUGGGGAUAUGGCGCUGCUGCCACUUGCCAAUGACAAGUCCAACACCUCUACUGAAGCACAGUUGUUGAGACCAAGGAUGUGAGAGGAGCUGACUUGGAUUGAGAUGAAGGGAAGUAUUGUUAGCCGGUAGUA